ACCUAGUCCCACCACACCCCCAAGGGUACUCAGCAGUGAUAAACAUUGUCUAUAAGCGCCAGCUUGACCCAGUUAUAAAGAAGAGGGCCGGCCAACUUGGUGCCAGCCGCCGCGGCUAGACCAACUGGACUCAAAUUGAUAAUUCCCGGCGUUAAGCGUGAUUAAAGCCACACACCAAUUAGAGUUAAACCUAUGUUGAGCAGUGAAAAGCACACGAUAGGGAAACCCAGAAACGAAAGUUACUCUAAUCUCUGCUUGAAUACACGACAGCUAGAAUACAAACUGGGAUUAGAUACCCCACUAUGUCUAGCCGUAAACUAUUAACCCACACUAACCCCGCGCCAGGGAACUACGAGCCUUAGCUUAAAACCCAAAGGACUUGACGGUGUCCCACCCAACUAGAGGAGCCUGUUCUAUAAUCGAUAACCCCCGCUUCACCCAACCCCCCCUUGCUUUAUCAGCCUGUAUACCUCCGUCGUAAACCCGCCGUAUGAAUGUGCUUAAGCGGAUUCAAUGGUCUCCCACCAACACGUCAGGUCAAGGUGCAGCCAAUGGGGGUGGUAAGUAAUGGGCUACAAUUUCUAACCUAGAACAAACGAAGUACUGCAUGAAACACAGUCAUGAAGGAGGAUUUAGUAGUAAAAAGAAAGUAGCGUGUUCUUUUUAACACGGCCCUGGGACGUGUACACA
rnacentral:rRNA from 1 species